GGAGGGCGACAAUUACGUCGAAAUUUCCUACUCACCGGUUUUACCGCAGUCGCCGGAAUAUUAGUGAGACUUCUCGAGCGAAAAAAUAUCCUCGGCUCACGAUCAUAUGAAGCAGCUAAAGUACAAAUUGGUGGUGGUGCUGUCCAGCCCUCAGA